AUUGGAGGAAAUGGCGAAGGCCAGGUGGCGCGUGGCCACGACUUGCUUGGUGCACAGGUUUCGAGCUGUUUCUGCGCACCGUAUGGCGUUGUGGGCGUUCACAGGGUAUGGCUCUUAACAACAAGGUAUGGCCCUUGACAGUAAGGUAUGGCCCCUGGUCGUCAUGUCGUAGAGUGGCAAGCAAGCAAGCAAAGCAUGGCGCGGGGAGGUUGUAACGUGCAGCCACGUAUGCCGGCGUAAGGGCGCGCAUAGGUGCACACGUGGAUGCGGCCGCAGGCGAGAUCGGGCUUGCUUGGAGGCCGCAACCUUGGUGAAGUCAGCUUGAUGAGGACUGAGAUCGGGC
rnacentral:lncRNA from 1 species